GACGAACGCUGGCGGCGUGCUUAACACAUACAAGUCGAACGGAAAGGCCCUGCUUUUGUGGGGUGCUCGAGUGGCGAACGGGUGAGUAACACGUGAGUAACCUGCCCUUGACUUUGGGAUAACUUCAGGAAACUGGGGCUAAUACCGGAUAGGAGCUCCUGCUGCAUGGUGGGGGUUGGAAAGUUUCGGCGGUUGGGGAUGGACUCGCGGCUUAUUAGCUUGUUGGUGGGGUAGUGGCUUACCAAGGCUUUGACGGGUAGCCGGCCUGAGAGGGUGACCGGCCACAUUGGGACUGAGAUACGGCCCAGACUCCUACGGGAGGCAGCAGUGGGGAAUAUUGCACAAUGGGCGGAAGCCUGAUGCAGCAACGCCGCGUGCGGGAUGACGGCCUUCGGGUUGUAAACCGCUUUCGCCUGUGACGAAGCGUGAGUGACGGUAAUGGGUAAAGAAGCACCGGCUAACUACGUG
rnacentral:rRNA from 1 species